AUGGACAUAGACAAGUUGAAAGAUGUCCAAGGGUUGCAGACCCCUCCUAGGAGGUCACCAAGGUGCCCCAGUCCAAAGCCUGCCACAGGCAAAGAGCCCAAUACUUCAAGUGGGACUGAGAGGCCUCUGCAUCUUCCCACAAAACACCAGCUUCAACUUCACUGUACAGUUGGGGAGGCCCCCAGAACUUUAAGGGAAGUGGGAGCUGGGGCUGAUGGAAACCACACAGCUGAAAUAACAUCAGCAAAGAUGCCAUCUUCGAAACAGCACUGCAGGCUAAAGCAUGGCACUGUAACUUGUGUAAGGGCUAUCAUCUGUGCUUCUCCAUGUUGAUGGAAUUUCUCACAGAUGAUGUAACUGCAAGGCCACUCUCAGUUACUUUUGUUAUGUCAUAGCAAUUGGGAGAGGUUACUGAAAAGAUUGAAAGAAAACAAAUGUCACUCCUAUCUUAAAGAAGGAAGAUCUAGGGAACCAUAUGCCAGUCAGUCUCACCUAAAUCCUUGGGAAAAUAAUGGAGCAACCAUUUCCAAAUACAUGAGGGACAAGAAGGUGAUAUGUAGUAGUCCCCAUGGAUUUACAAAGGAGGAAUCAUGCCUAAGGAACCCAGUAGCCUUCUACAAUGAGGUGACUAGCUCGGUGGAUGAGGGGAGAGGUGCCGAUGUGAUUUAACUCAACUUUAGAAAGGUUGCGGAGCCUCCACUUGUGGAGAUAUUCAAAACCUGACUACACACUGUACAGGGUAACCUGUUCUAGCCAACUCUGCUCGAGCAAGGGGUGGCAGACUAGAUGAUCUGAACAGGUCCCUUCCUACCACACCUAUUCCAUGAUUUCAUUAGGAGAUAAGCUGUCAGGUAUCAAUUAAUAACUAUAUUGCAGCUCUAUUCUCCACUAUGCACACAUACCCCCUCUUUUUUUUAGCCCAGUACCUAGUGUUUGCCUGAACAGGUAAGGAAUAAGCCCCCUCCAUUAUUCAAGGUUGUGUCCAACACAAGCACAGCACUGAUUUGCUAAUGAUUGUCAUUAAUUAUGAGGGGGUAAACAGCUUGUUCAUGAAAUUCAAGAUGAUAAAUUGUCAGUAUUUAAAACACAAGUGUGGAGAAAAGUAGCAAUAGAAAGGAAACAAAGGAUUAAUUUAAAGGAAACACACACCUGCAGAAUUAUAUUCCAAAACACAGACUUUCUGCAAGAUGUUUUGGGAAAAGUUGAUAUAAAGAAGCAAAGUGUCAAAGCUAAUGAGACAUUGCUUUGGACUGCAGUAUUUCUUCUUCCAAAACUUCACAGCUAUUUUGAGUGGCAUGCAGAAAGGCAACAAAGCAAAAAACAACAAAACUGUCUCUGCCUGAAGCUGUGAAAGGUCAAAUUUAGUUGUCCCAAUGUCAGCACUAUAAUCUUUUUGUAUAUAAGACAUAGUGCCCAAAGUGCAGUUGGCAAGAAAGAAGACUGAACAUUCGAAGAGGAUUCAGAGAUGAUUUAUGAAGAAGGAUUAGAAUGUGCACUACAAUCUAAGUGACAGUUAAACUCAGAGGGCAGGAAGGAGAAUGGAGGCAGAACUUGGAAAUAGUAUUAGAAAAAAAGAAAAAAAAUUAAAAAUUAUAGAUCAAAUACUGAGACUCCCGAGAUCAGAAGGACUGGCAGGACCCCAGUUACUCAUCUGCUGGAUGGAAAAACAUCAAAGACCACAGAGAGUUCAAAAUGUCAAAGACAACAUAUAUAAAAUCCAGAGAAUAACUAAUAUAGAAGAAGGAAUUAUGCAGUCACUCCACAGUGGAAACUUGAUUGGAAGGAUAUUUAACAUAUAAUUCAUAAGGCUAUGUAAUUUGUGAAGGCUAUGUAAUUCAUAAAGCCCAAAAAGGACUUGUGGUUCCUACAGAAACACUAACCUUAUGCAUACAUUAGAAUGUGCAGUUAUGCUGUCCUUGAUAACAGACUGACAAUAAUAGCUCAUCUAAAAUAUAGUAACAAAGCAUUAUACAUAAUCUUCACAUUAAACCUUUUUCUCAUUAGUAAGCAAGGGGAUAAGAGCUGAAAAAUUCUCUAAGCAAUUCAUCAUAAUGAAUGAGAAUCCAUCAGCCUAACAAAGCACUUCUGAGCAUUAAGCCCUAUUUCCUAAACACACAUAACUGAAAAGAUAUGAAAAGAUAUUCUGAAAUGCAAAAUUUGGGGAUUAAGCUCAGUCUCUCUUUAAUUCCUGCAAAUGACCCUAUCUAGAGACUUCAAACUGAAAACAGGCAGCAAAUUACAAUGCUGUCCUGUUAGUGCAAAACUUUUUGAAACUACAUGUCAGGAGAUGUAAAUUUAGGGCUUUUCCCUAUGUAAUAACAGUAAUUACAAAAUGGAAAUGUGCAAUGAUUUUUAAAUUAUUUUAUUUCAUUUUUCAGUGUGUUACCAUAAAGUUAAUUUCACUUGAGAUGAAAAUCCAAUCUGAAAACCAGCUGAACAGAAAGAUCUCCUGAAUUCAUUGCUCCAUAGAAACAUUUAUAUCUGAGUUUGAUAGCAAAAGCAAGUGCAUGUUGCUGUUUAAUCCCAUUAAACAUGCAGAACAGAAAGAGAAGUGAAUUUUGUUCUUCUAAUUCUUGGAAAAUUUGGAGAAUAUUUUACUACAAUCCUUAAUCCCUGUGCAACCAUAACAAAAGACAAGAUUUUUACAUGUUAGCAACCAUGAUUUGGCUACUAAAAAUGUUUUCGUUUGCCUCACUAUUAAAACCUCUUUCCAAAACCAUUUGAUUCACAGACUCAAAACCAGCACUCAAGGCUUUGAAAGCUGGAAGGAGACUUUUCAACUACUUUCAUAGAUGUCACCAGGAACAGACAGUUUUACCAAGACAGUUUCCAGAGUAACAAACAUCACAUCUAAAUCACAGUCCAAAUUCCUGUAUACAAAACCCACAAGAGAAAUGUAUCAGACAAGACGGGAAACCAUAUUUUAUUCCAUUGUUAGUAGAGAGAAAAACAAAUGUAAUCAUUAUCAGUUGAGUCCCCUCAGUGCUCUAAUUUUUGGGCAACUACAUUAAAGCCUUUUGAAAAUAGAACUGUAUGGCUGUUUAAAACUAUAUGGUAAAUUCAUAUGUUAUAUAUUUGCACAAAUGCAGGGGCAUGCAUCUGCAGUACUUUCUUCUGAGACGGAAGCCCCUACUACUUAUGCAUGGACACUUUAUGCCCAACAAGGAGCACAGUUAGAUUCUGGUCAGUCUACCAUCAAACAAACAUUUACAGUAUUUAGCAUCCACUGGCAUAACUUUAUGAAAUUUAGGCACCUCUGUUGGUCACAUGUUGUUAAUCUGUCUCUUUUUUCCUGAUCCAAUUCUCCUGAAGCCUCUUUAUCCUCUUUGUUUAUUUUAACCACAGCUGCUUAAUUCUGCUCUAUCUCUUAAUACCAAAUAAAUGCAGCAGUAACAAAAAAAAAUAAAAAAAAAAAAUCAGAUGUUCAAAGGACUUGUGGUGCGUCAACAGUCAGCAAUCCUCACCCAAAUUUGUCUAAAAGGACUGAGGACCUGUACAGCCCAAAAGAAGUUACCAUGAUCUAAGAUACUCUCUUGAAGAUGUAUUACAGGCUACAACCAAGAACACUGCGUCUCAAACACUUAGUGCUCUCCAUCUGCUCAAAAGGGGCUUAAACUACAUUCUGCAAACUGACUUGUACCCUUCUCUUUCAGAUGUUGGAGGCAUUUCUGAGAAAAGGCGUGAGGAAUCAAUGUGAAGGAUAUUCCUACAGAAGUUAUUUGUAAACCCAUCACUGUAUAAGUGUGAAAGAUCUGUCUUAAGGAAAUGAAAAACAGGCAAUCACACUGGUUCAGGAAGAAGCGUGAAAAUUCACAAGAAAAUUCAGCCAGUUACAGGUGGACAAAUACCUUUGCUAUCCCAAAGCAAACACAGGACAGCGGCAUUAGACCAUUUAACAUCAUCAUCAUCAUGGCUGGGCUUCGCGAAUGAAGAUUUGGGAAGGGCUCUACCCACGUUUGUUGCAAGCACGUUGGUGGCUGAAAAGGCCAAUACGAGACAGGCAUGUCCGGUUGCAAAAGGCACAGCAGAAAGACUCCUUAGAUGGUAUAUUCUGCAAGGCACGAUUCUUUCUGCAUUGCCUUUUCUCCUCAAGGGUGAUCCUGCGUGCUUUCUCAACCAUUUAACAAAUACAGAUGCAUACUGCAAA